rnacentral:tRNA from 1 species
GGGCGCGUAGCUCAGCUGGCUAGAGCGCCUGGUUUACACCCAGGAGGUCGCAGGUUCGAGCCCUGCCGCGCCCA